rnacentral:rRNA from 1 species
AGUGAACGCUGGCGGUAGGCCUAACACAUGCAAGUCGAACGGCAGCACAGUAAGAGCUUGCUCUUACGGGUGGCGAGUGGCGGACGGGUGAGGAAUACAUCGGAAUCUACUUUUUCGUGGGGGAUAACGUAGGGAAACUUACGCUAAUACCGCAUACGACCUACGGGUGAAAGCAGGGGAUCUUCGGACCUUGCGCGAUUGAAUGAGCCGAUGUCGGAUUAGCUAGUUGGCGGGGUAAAGGCCCACCAAGGCGACGAUCCGUAGCUGGUCUGAGAGGAUGGUCGGCCACCUGGGAAAGUGAAACGCGGCAGAGCGCCUAAGGGAGGGACCAGGGGGGAAAUUUGGGAAAAGGGGGGGAACCUUGAACAACCCAUCCCGGGGGGGUGAAGAAGGCUUGCGGGUUGGAAGCCCUUUUUUUGGGAAAAAAAAGCAGGCGGUUGAGACCCCGCGGGUUUGGCGGUAACCAAAAAAAAAGCACCGGCUAACUUCGUG